AACGCACAUUGCGCCCGAGGCUUCGGCCGAGGGCAUGUCUGCCUCAGCGUCCUGCUUCGUUGCCCCACCCCUCCACUCCGGUGGAGCGCGGCGGUGCGAUCUGGCCGUCCUCUCCGCGGGGUACCCCCCCGCGAGGACGUCGGCCGAAAAGCAGCGCGAUCGAAGCCGCCCGACCUCGGGCUCGGAGCUUGAUAGGAACCCCGGUUCUCGCCCCGCUCCGUCCCGUGUCCCGUCGAACGAGCUUCGGCCGCCAAACCUCAGGAACCCUUUCGUUUCAGGACCUGAGCUCAGGCAAGGCUACCCGCUGAACUUAA
rnacentral:misc_RNA from 1 species